rnacentral:rRNA from 1 species
AGCGAACGCUGGCGGCAGGCCUAACACAUGCAAGUCGAACGAACCUUUCGGGGUUAGUGGCGGACGGGUGAGUAACACGUGGGAACGUGCCUUUAGGUUCGGAAUAACUCAGGGAAACUUGUGCUAAUACCGAAUGUGUCCUUCGGGGGAAAGAUUUAUCGCCUUUAGAGCGGCCCGCGUCUGAUUAGCUAGUUGGUUGAGGUAAUGGCUCACCAAGGCGACGAUCAGUAGCCGGUCUGAGAGGAUGAUCAGCCACAUUGGGACUGAGACACGGCCCAAACUCCUACGGGAGGCAGCAGUGGGGAAUCUUGCGCAAUGGGCGAAAGCCUGACGCAGCCAUGCCGCGUGAAUGAUGAAGGUCUUAGGAUUGUAAAAUUCUUUCACCGGGGACGAUAAUGACGGUACCCGGAGAAGAAGCCCCGGCUAACUUCGUG